rnacentral:rRNA from 1 species
GAGCGGAUGACGGGAGCUUGCUCCUUGAUUCAGCGGCGGACGGGUGAGUAAUGCCUAGGAAUCUGCCUGGUAGUGGGGGAUAACGUUCGGAAACGGACGCUAAUACCGCAUACGUCCUACGGGAGAAAGCAGGGGACCUUCGGGCCUUGCGCUAUCAGAUGAGCCUAGGUCGGAUUAGCUAGUUGGUGGGGUAAUGGCUCACCAAGGCGACGAUCCGUAACUGGUCUGAGAGGAUGAUCAGUCACACUGGAACUGAGACACGGUCCAGACUCCUACGGGAGGCAGCAGUGGGGAAUAUUGGACAAUGGGCGAAAGCCUGAUCCAGCCAUGCCGCGUGUGUGAAGAAGGUCUUCGGAUUGUAAAGCACUUUAAGUUGGGAGGAAGGGUUGUAGAUUAAUACUCUGCAAUUUUGACGUUACCGACAGAAUAAGCACCGGCUAACUCUGUG